UCCAUGCCAGGCUGAGGUGCCUCCCUGUUUCUUCUCAUUUGAGAGUCCUCCACAGAAGCGGCUCAGUUCUGGGAGACCUCGGCACACACAUGGGCAGUAAAUGUAGACGUCCAAAGUCUACUUCAAAAGUUUUAAUGAAAAUAAUGGAGAAUUCGAGUUUGAUUUUUUCCAAGGUACCAGGGAUUGAAUUCAGGCUGUCACCCUUGCGAGGCAGGCCGUGGAUCCACUGAGCCAAAUCCCCAGCCCAUAAAAUGGCAUUGUCUAAAACAUUAUUUACCAAACACAAAAUUCUUUUAAAAUUGUUCUAUGGCAUAAAGAAAAUGAAGAAAUUUGAUUCAAGACAACCUAGUAAAUCUUGGAGCUGUUGCCUCUCUGCCACAGGUCACCCUGCCUUGCAGCCAGCCAAUUAAGGACUUAAACGUCUACAAACUGAGCUAAAUACACCUUUGCCUCCAUUCAGUUUGGAACUUGAGUAUUUUGAUUCAGCAAGGAGAAAAGUAACUAACACCCACCCCGUCUUCUCUCCAAGGGCCAGCAGUCUCUUGUGCCUGUGGGUCCCUCAUCCACCCUGGGGACCUGGUAGUGUGAAGCCACCAAGGAGCUGCUCUGAGACCCAGGUUGAGACACUCAGCUCUUCCCUACAGUGGUGUCCUUGUCGGCCCUUACUCACCAUUGUGGCUGUGGGUGCUUGUACUGAGGUCACUAACCAAGUGCUGGUGGAUUGCAUACAGCCACUCUGGAAGUGUUGCCCCAUGUUUUACUUGUGAUCCAACUGCUGGCAUUUCCUUCAGUUCCAGUGCAGUUCUCUGCUCCCACAUGGCCAAAAUUUGUGAGUUUUACUUCGCCUCCCACCUCGCAGCUAGCUAAUCACUAUCAUUGUCACUGCACAGUCUCUCCUCAGCAGUGUGAUCUAUUUUUCUGUAUCAUUUAAUCCAGUUUCUUCUCCUCUAUCCACUCUUUAUUGGUUCCCUCUUAAGCUCCACACACUCUGAUUCCUGUCCAAGCUAUUGUUUUCCAAACCUAGACACUUUGUAGUGGAAAAGCUGAGUUCCUGGCACUCACUGCUCUGCCAUUUUGGGACCAAGAAUAUGAUCUGAAAAGAAAACAGUCUCCACAUUUGUUCUAUACACCUACUUCCCAGGCUUGGUCAGCUGUGCUCUUAACCUACGUGGCCCAGGGUCGUAGGUCAAGGCAGUGUUUCCUUAUAUACAUCAUACGAACUGUCUACAGCAGGUGCUUUCACUGCCUGUAAAAAGGGAAGCAUACCUUCCCUGAUGCCCUCCCAGAAGUGCAUUCUGAGGCAGAAACAAGAUCAAG